rnacentral:rRNA from 1 species
UUUGUAGGUGGCUUGCUAAGUCAGACGUGAAAUCCCUCAGCUUAACUGGGGAACUGCGUCUGAUACUGGUGAGCUUGAGUGCAGGAGAGGAACGCGGAAUUCCAGGUGUAGCGGUGAAAUGCGUAGAUAUCUGGAGGAACACCGGUGGCGAAGGCGGCGUUCUGGACUGCAACUGACACUGAUAAACGAAAGCCAGGUAGCAAACG